GGAUGUGAGGGUGAUCUGGCUGCGACAUCUGUCACCCCAUUGAUCACCAGGGUUGAUUCGGCUGAUCUGGCUGGCUAGGCGGGUGUCCCCUUCCUCCCUCACCGCUCCAUGUGCAUCCCUCCUGAAGCUGUGCGCUCGGUCCAAGAGGAUGACCUUCCCUGAUAGAGGAGGACAUUCUUCGGUCAAGGGUAUAGGAGUAGGUGCACUCCCCUGCUAGAACCUCCAAACAAGCUUUCAAGGUCCAUUUGUAGGAGAACGUAGGGUAGUCAAGCUUCCAAGAUUCCAGACACAUCCAAAUGAGGCACUGCACGUGGCAGUCUGCCUUUCUUU
ensembl:misc_RNA 7SK 7SK RNA